rnacentral:rRNA from 1 species
UACAGAGGUCCCAAGCGUUGUUCGGAUUCACUGGGCGUAAAGGGUGCGUAGGUGGCGAGGUAAGUCGGAUGUGGAAGCUCGGAGCUCAACUCCGAAAUGGCAUUGGAAACUACCUUGCUCGAGGGUUGGAGGGGGGACUGGAAUUCUCGGUGUAGCAGUGAAAUGCGUAGAUAUCGAGAGGAACACCAGUGGCGAAGGCGAGUCCCUGGACAACUCCUGACACUGAGGCACGAAAGCUAGGGGAGCAAACAGG